rnacentral:rRNA from 1 species
GACGAACGCUGGCGGCGUGCUUAACACAUGCAAGUCGAACGGAGUGCUCAUGACAGAGGUUUCGGCCAAUGGACUGAGUUACUUAGUGGCGGACUGGUGAGUAACGCGUGAGGAACCUGCCUUUCAGAGGGGGACAACAGCUGGAAACGGCUGCUAAUACCGCAUGACGCAUGACCGGGGCAUCGAGCAGAGGGAAAAGGAGUGAUCCGCUUUGAGAUGGCCUCGCGUCCGAUUAGCUGGUUGGUGAGGUAACGGCCCACCAAGGCGACGAUCGGUAGCCGGACUGAGAGGUUGAACGGCCACAUUGGGACUGAGACACGGCCCAG